rnacentral:rRNA from 1 species
GAUGAACGCUGGCGGCGUGCCUAAUACAUGCAAGUCGAGCGGACGGACGAGAAGCUUGCUUCUCUGAUGUUAGCGGCGGACGGGUGAGUAAAACGUCGAUAACCUACCUAUAAGACUGCGAUAACUUCGGGAAACCGGUGCUAAUACCGGAUGAUAUUUUGAUCCGCAUGGUUCAAAAGUGUAAGACGGUCUUGCUGUCACUUAUAGUUGGCUCCGCGCUGGAUUAGCAGUUUGGUAAGGUAACGGCUUCGCAAUGCAACGAUGAAUAGCCGACCUGUGAGGGGGAUGGGCGACACUGGAACUGAGCCGCGGUCCAGGCUCCUACAGGAGGCAGAGGUAGGGAAGCGACGGCGAUGGGCGGAAUCCUGCAGGAUCGGCGGCGGCCGGGUGAUGAAGGUCCUCGGAUCGUAAAACGCUGUUAUUGGGGAAGAACGUUUUUGUCAGGAACGGAGCACAUCGUGACGGUACCUAAUCAGGAAGCCACGGCUAACUACGUG